GAUGAACGCUGGCGGCGUGGCCUAAUACAUGCAAGUAGAACGCUGAAGCUUGGUGCUUGCACCGAGCGGAUGAGUUGCGAACGGGUGAGUAACGCGUAGGUAACCUGCCUGGUAGCGGGGGAUAACUAUUGGAAACGAUAGCUAAUACCGCAUAACAGUCGACAUUGCAUGAUGUUGAUUUGAAAGGGGCAAAUGCUCCACUACCAGAUGGACCUGCGUUGUAUUAGCUAGUUGGUGAGGUAACGGCUCACCAAGGCGACGAUACAUAGCCGACCUGAGAGGGUGAUCGGCCACACUGGGACUGAGACACGGCCCAGACUCCUACGGGAGGCAGCAGUAGGGAAUCUUCGGCAAUGGACGGAAGUCUGACCGAGCAACGCCGCGUGAGUGAAGAAGGUUUUCGGAUCGUAAAGCUCUGUUGUAUAGAGAUAGAACGAGUGUGAGAUGUGGAAAUGUUCACAGCUG
rnacentral:rRNA from 1 species